AUUGAACGCUGGCGGCAUGCUUUACACAUGCAAGUCGAACGGUAACAGGGAGCUUGCUCCGCUGACGAGUGGCGAACGGGUGAGUAAUGCGUCGGAACGUGCCGAGUAGUGGGGGAUAACGCAGCGAAAGUUGUGCUAAUACCGCAUACGUACUGAGGUAGAAAGUGGGGGACCUUCGGGCCUCACGCUAUUCGGGCGGCCGACGUCUGAUUAGCUAGUAGGUGAGGUAAAGGCUCACCUAGGCGACGAUCAGUAGCGGGUCUGAGAGGAUGAUCCGCCACACUGGGACUGAGACACGGCCCAGACUCCUACGGGAGGCAGCAGUGGGGAAUUUUGGACAAUGGGCGAAAGCCUGAUCCAGCCAUGCCGCGUGUCUGAAGAAGGCCUUCGGGUCGUAAAGGACUUUUGUCGGGGAGGAAAUCCCCAGCGCUAAUACCGCUGGGGGAUGACAGUACCUGAAGAAUAAGCACCGGCUAACUACGUGCCAGCAGCCGCAGUAAUAC
rnacentral:rRNA from 1 species